rnacentral:lncRNA from 7 species
GGGCAGGAGAAUGCCUUGUUUCCCAGGAGACUGCUAAAUAAUGCCUGAUCUGUCCACACACACAAGUGGAAGGAUGUUCCCGCAUCUUCCCCCUCUCGUCCCUCAAAAAAACUGCUGUUCUCUGAGAUAGAGCCCCAGCUUGUCUCUGUCUCAGCCCCACAUGAGCCCCUCUAAGUGGAGGAAGUUAUAUCACCCUCCAGGAAUUGCUCUCCGAAUGCGAUGCGAUGAAGGAAAAUAACCUCUGAAACUGGGAGUCAGGCUGCUGCAGGAAACUGGGAGGGCCUUGGCAUGGCUCUGCUUGGCUGGCAUCGGCAUUUCCAGGAAAGGAAUUUUGAACAAAGGGACCUCAAAAGACACCUGGGCUGAUCUCUCACCAAUCAUGGAGCUCAUGAAGGCACUUUCUUCUCCUCCCCUCUUUCACCGGGGUAUUCUCCAUUGAAGCUCUAUGGAUGCCCCAUAGAUUCAGACAGAUGGAAAGAAAUAGCCUUUUUCAUCCGUGAAAUGAAGGAAAAGCAGUCAGCAGUGAGAGCUCAGUGAAGUACUGCAAGGACAGCUGUGGGGAUGCAUUCAUGGGUCAGAUUUUCCAACUCACCUCUGUCACUUUGGAGAGUUCAUUUCUUUUCUACUCUUCCUCCUUCUGCCUUCCAUAGGUUCUAAUUUUAACAGAGAUUGAGCACGAGAAAGGGAGGAAAGGGGAAAGGGCAAAAAGCCAGUGGGGGUGCAGAGGUUAAUUUUGUAAUGAAUUUGGCUAAUGGGAAAGAUACCUUUGAGAAGAUCACUCGAUGGCAAUUUAAAGGCAAUUUCAAAAGCCAAUUAAAGCGUUUUCAAACUC